UACGAAGGGGGAUAGCGGUGUGCGGAAAUAGUGGGCGUAAAGCGCACGUAGGCGGAUAUUUAAGUCAGGGGCGAAAUCCCGGGGCUCAACUCCGGAACUGCCUUUGAUACUGGAUAUCUAGAGACCGAGAGAGGUAAGUGGAACUCCUAGUGUAGAGGUGGAAUUCGUAGAUAUAGGAAGGAACACCAGUGGCGAAGGCGACCACCUGGACUGAUACUGACACUGAGGUGCGAAAGCGUGGGGAGCAAACAGG
rnacentral:misc_RNA from 1 species